rnacentral:lncRNA from 10 species
AUUCAGAGCCCCAGCCUGUUCAUAAAAAAAAUCAGAUGAAUUUUGUCUGCGGAACAUUCUGCAAAAAUAUCUGACCAGUAAGUAAUCCUCUAAAUAGCCACAGCCAUCAACAGCAAGGAAAGUCUGAGAAAGUGUCACAGCCAAGAGGACCCUAUAAAGACAUGAUGACUAAAUGUAACAUGGUGUCUUCCAUGGGAUCCUGAAACAGAAAAAGGACAUUAGGAAAAGAAGGACAAAACUAUCUGAAGCCCUGUAAAAAGUCUGAGUCAUUUCUGCUCUAUUUCUUUCCCUACGAAUGGUAAGAGCUGGGGAUUGUGGUAUGUGCCUUUAGUCCUAGCUACUCCGGAGGCUGAGGCAGGAGGAUCACCUGAGCCCAGGACUUUGAGGCCGCUGUAAGCUAUGAUCAUGCCACUGCACUCCAGCUCAGGCAACAGUGAGACCCGGUCUCAACAAACAAAAGAAAAUAAAAGAAUGGUAGACAAGGAAAGCAGUUGAACAGCUAUGCGAGAAGCCUACUUUCUCUUCAUGUAACACGUUGGCCUAAGAGAUCUAUAGAGCUUUUUAAAAACAAAGAAGGCAGCAAGAUUUAAAAUAAUAAAACCAGCAAUAGGUAUUUUUAAAAGUGAGAGAAACUAUCAGAGAGCUGUAGCAGAAAAGCAAGUUAAAAAUAAAGGAAACAGAAAAGGAACUGAUACAGCUGAUUUGAUACUGGAAAAAUCACCCAGGAGGCAGCGUGGACAAUGGAUUGGAGAAG